rnacentral:lncRNA from 1 species
UUGGAUGGUUGGCCUCUUGGUUACAAGCAUGUACAUUAUGGCUCUCUCCUUGCCUGGAACUGGAUAUGAGAAAUGCUUGAAUUAAGAUCUGUGAAUUAUCUUAUUUUCUUGUCAGAAGGAUGCAGAUUGCCCAUACUUCAUAGCAGAGCAACAGGAGGGACUUAGGGACAAAAAGCUCAAAGGCAAGGAAGACUGAGGAAGCUAAGUUACUGGCCAUAUGUUUAAUAAAUAUAAGCUUAAUGGCAGUGAAUGUAUUAAUGUCAGCGAAGACAAGUCUAUGAAGUUAAACAGGCACAGAGAGGCUAAGAGUCUUGCCAAAGGCCACAGAGGAAGGAAGAGACUAAAUCUGGAACAAACUUUCUAUUCUCCAUUUCCAGAAGAAACCACUAAACCAUGCUUCCUCUUGUCAUGGAAGCUUAAAAUAUUUGGACUGUCUGUGGAUCCAGGGAGGAAUUUCAGAAGAGCCAGGAUUAGUCAAUCAAAUUAAACUCAAUAUCACCCAAAUAAAGUUGGUCAGAUCAAACUACGUUUAAAUAAGAAUUAAAAUGCCAUUUGUCCAUCACCUAAUGGCUCAAUUUGCUCCUGCCUUGGGUGUGCACACCCUGCUCUGGAACAGACCAGAGCUCUAAAGAAGUGACUGGAAGUUGUGAAUGUCAUUGUUAUGAAGCUUCAAAUUUGCUCUCCUCUUUAGGACACAGACAUGGCAUUAGAGAAGGGCAGAAAACUGCACUUGGCUGUGCAUAGAGAACACUAGAGACCUCUUGUGCAAGAGAGGGGACUAGGUUGCGUAGUGUAAUGAGAGAAGCAUGGGUUUUGAGACCGCUACAAUGUCUGUGUCUUCUUGGCCAACAUUUCAGUAAGAGUAGUAAGCAUAUCUCCACAAUAGGGUUAAGAGAACCAGUGUCUUCUGAAAAACACAUGAAAUCAUCGUAACCCUGCUAAGUCUGUGCUUUGCAAAAAUUAAAACUAAAACUAAUUUUCA